rnacentral:tRNA from 1 species
GGUUAUGGCUCAGCGGUAGAGCGCACACCUCACACGUGCAAGGCCCUGGGUUCGAUCCUCAGCACCA